UUUAUAUAACAGGGGUGCCUUACUUUUACAGGCUGAGAUCAUACCCUUACACCUGAUCCGGGUAAUGCCGGCGUAGGAAGAUGUAGGUUUUUUUGU
rfam:Tannerella forsythia 92A2, complete genome.